UUUGAGUUGGAGUAGAGUAGGGCUUCUUGAACUUUUGGGUCUCCUCUUGAACGUCUGGUCGACUUGAAGGCAGGAGGAGACUUCUUUAAAUGCUGGGAAGAGGUAGUUGGAUGGAGUUUAUGGCGCUCUUCCUUCUUUUCUGUUGAAAACCAGUUUGCCGAGAAAGGAUGCUUGAUUUCUUUGAGUGGAAUAGUGCUUCUCUGCUUUGCUAC
rnacentral:lncRNA from 1 species